UAGGGAAUCUUCGGCAAUGGGGGGAACCCUGACCGAGCAACGCCGCGUGAGUGAAGAAGGUUUUCGGAUCGUAAAGCUCUGUUGUUAAGGAAGAACGAGUGUGAGAAUGGAAAGUUCAUACUGUGACGGUACUUAACCAGAAAGGGACGGCUAACUACGUGCCAGCAGCCGCGGUAAUACGUAGGUCCCGAGCGUUGUCCGGAUUUAUUGGGCGUAAAGCGAGCGCAGGCGGUUAGAUAAGUCUGAAGUUAAAGGCAGUGGCUCAACCAUUGUAGGCUUUGGAAACUGGUUGACUUGAGUGCAGAAGAGGAGAGUGGAAUUCCAUGUGUAGCGGUGAAAUGCGUAGAUAUAUGGAGGAACACCAGUGGCGAAGGCGACUCUCUGGUCUGUAACUGACGCUGAGGUUCGAAAGCGUGGGUAGCAAACAGG
rnacentral:rRNA from 1 species